rnacentral:rRNA from 1 species
UACAGAGGGGGCGAAGCGUUGUUCGGAAUUACUGGGCGUAAAGGGCGCGUAGGCGGCCUUCUAAGUCGAACGUGAAAUCCCCGGGCUCAACCCGGGAACUGCGUCCGAUACUGGAAGGCUUGAAUUCGGGAGAGGGAUGCGGAAUUCCAGGCGUAGCGGUGAAAUGCGUAGAUAUCUGGAGGAACACCGGUGGCGAAGGCGGCAUCUUGGACCGGCAUUGACGCUGAGACGCGAAAGCCAGGGGAGCAAACGGG